CAUGCAACCAAACCCAAAGUUCAUAUCUUAAUAAUGGUAUGAUCUUGUCUGGUGUGCAAAUAGUAAAUUGUUCCUUGUCGCCUUUCUCUGUUGCUACACAUGUGCCUUUGAAAGUGAAUUCAAGGAUCAAUAUCU
ensembl:snoRNA Small nucleolar RNA SNORA68